GAGAAAGUCAUCUCUUAUCUCAUAAAAUUGGAAUAAUAGAGAGAAAAAUAACAUGAUCCCUGCGCAAGAAUGACACGCACAAAUCCAUAAAUGAUUCCAAAUUUUU